AUGGUGCAUAUGAAUGUCCUGGCCGAGCUCUCAAGAUCACCAACAAUGCUGAAAAGAGAGGCAAAUGCCAGGUUCUUACUAGGCGGUGUUCCUAAUUGGGAAAUUUGAAAUCACUGAUGAUCACAGAGCUGGGUGAAUUGUAAACCUCUCAGGGAGGUAAUACAAGUGUGGAGUGAUCAGCCCCAGAUUUGAUGUGCAACUCACAGAUCUAGAAAAAUGCCAGAAUAAUCUGCUCCCAUCCCACCUGUUUGGUUUCAUAGUACUAACAAUCUCAGCUGGGAUCAUGGACCACGAAGAAGCAAGACAAAAACACACAGGAGGGAAAAUCCUGGGAUUCUUUUUC
rnacentral:lncRNA from 1 species